GUUGAAAUACAGGUUCCCGUACGAUCACUGAAGUUUAGCAACGUCGUACCUGGUCAGUACGUAGAUGGGUGACCACCUUGUAAUAGCAGGUGUUGUAA